AGUGAACGCUGGCGGUAGGCCUAACACAUGCCAGUCGAACGGCAGCACAGUAAGAGCUUGCUCUUACGGGUGGCGAGUGGCGGACGGGUGAGGAAUACAUCGGAAUCUACUUUUUCGUGGGGGAUAACGUAGGGAAACUUACGCUAAUACCGCAUACGACCUACGGGUGAAAGCAGGGGAUCUUCGGACCUUGCGCGAUUGAAUGAGCCGAUGUCGGAUUAGCUAGUUGGCGGGGUAAAGGCCCACCAAGGCGACGAUCCGUAGCUGGUCUGAGAGGAUGAUCAGCCACACGGGAACUGAGACACGGUCCAGACUCCUACGGGAGGCAGAAGUGGGGAAUAUUGGACAAUGGGCGCAAGACUGAUCCAGCCAUACCGCGUGGGUGAAGAAGGCCUUCGGGUUGUAAAGCCCUUUUGUUGGGAAAGAAAAGCAGCAGGUUAAUACCCCGCUGUUCGGACGGUACCCAAAGAAUAAGCACCGGCUAACUUCGU
rnacentral:rRNA from 1 species